rnacentral:rRNA from 1 species
AAUCAACGCUAGCGGCAGGCUUAACACAUGCAAGUCGAGGGGUAGAAGUUGCUUGCAACUUUGAGACCGGCGCACGGGUGCGUAACGCGUAUGCAAUCUACCUUAUACAGAGGGAUAGCCCAGAGAAAUUUGGAUUAAUACCUCAUAGUAUAAUUGAAUGGCAUCAUUUAAUUAUUAAAGUUCCAACGGUAUAAGAUGAGCAUGCGUCCUAUUAGCUAGAUGGUAAGGUAACGGCUUACCAUGGCAACGAUAGGUAGGGGUCCUGAGAGGGAGAUCCCCCACAAUGGUACUGAGACACGAACCAGACUCCUAGGGGAGGCAGCAGUGAGGAAUAUUGGACAAUGGGCGCAAGCCUGAUCCAGCCAUGCCGCGUGCAGGAAGAAGCAUCUAUGGUGUGUAAACUGCUUUUGUACGGGAAGAAACACCCCUUCGUGAAGGGACUUGACGGUACCGUAAGAAUAAGGAUCGGCUAACUCCGUGCCAGCCGCCGCUGUAAAAC